rnacentral:rRNA from 1 species
AACGCUGGCGGCAUGCCUUACACAUGCAAGUCGAACGGCAGCACGGGGCAACCUGGUGGCGAGUGGCGAACGGGUGAGUAAAGCAUCGGAACGUGCCCUGGAGUGGGGGAUAACGUAGCGAAAGUUACGCUAAUACCGCAUAUUCUGUGAGCAGGAAAGCAGGGGAUCGCAAGACCUUGCGCUCUGGGAGCGGCCGAUGUCGGAUUAGCUAGUUGGUGGGGUAAAGGCCUACCAAGGCGACGAUCCGUAGCGGGUCUGAGAGGAUGAUCCGCCACACUGGGACUGAGACACGGCCCAGACUCCUACGGGAGGCAGCAGUGGGGAAUUUUGGACAAUGGGCGCAAGCCUGAUCCAGCCAUGCCGCGUGAGUGAAGAAGGCCUUCGGGUUGUAAAGCUCUUUCGGCCGGGAAGAAAUCGCAUGGGUCAAUACCCUGUGUGGAUGACGGUACCGGCAAUAAGAAGCACCGGCUAACUACGUGCCAGCAGCCGCGGUAAUACGUAGGGUGCGAGCGUUAAUCGGAAUUACUGGGCGUAAAGCGUGCGCAGGCGGUUUGGUAAGUCAGAUGUGAAAUCCCCGGGCUCAACCUGGGAACUGCAUUUGAGACUGCCAAGCUGGAGUUUGGCAGAGGGGGGUGGAAUUCCACGUGUAGCAGUGAAAUGCGUAGAGAUGUGGAGGAACACCGAUGGCGAAGGCAGCCCCCUGGGCCAAUACUGACGCUCAUGCACGAAAGCGUGGGGAGCAAACAGGAUUAGAUACCCUGGUAGUCCACGCCCUAAACGAUGUCAACUAGGUGUUGGGAGGGUUAAACCUUUUAGUGCCGUAGCUAACGCGUGAAGUUGACCGCCUGGGGAGUACGGCCGCAAGGCUAAAACUCAAAGGAAUUGACGGGGACCCGCACAAGCGGUGGAUGAUGUGGAUUAAUUCGAUGCAACGCGAAAAACCUUACCUACCCUUGACAUGUCAGGAAUCCUGGAGAGAUCUGGGAGUGCUCGCAAGAGAACCUGAACACAGGUGCUGCAUGGCUGUCGUCAGCUUGUGUCGUGAGAUGUUGGGUUAAGUCCCGCAACGAGCGCAACCCUUGUCAUUAAUUGCCAUCAUUCAGUUGGGCACUUUAAUGAGACUGCCGGUGACAAACCGGAGGAAGGUGGGGAUGACGUCAAGUCCUCAUGGCCCUUAUGGGUAGGGCUUCACACGUCAUACAAUGGUCGGUUCAGAGGGUUGCCAACCCGCGAGGGGGAGCCAAUCUCAGAAAGCCGAUCGUAGUCCGGAUCGCAGUCUGCAACUCGACUGCGUGAAGUCGGAAUCGCUAGUAAUCGCGGAUCAGCAUGUCGCGGUGAAUACGUUCCCGGGUCUUGUACACACCGCCCGUCACACCAUGGGAGCGGGUUCUGCCAGAAGUAGUUAGCCUAACCGCAAGGAGGGCGAUUACCACGGCAGGGUUCGUGACUGGGGUGAAGU